CCUGGCGCUGCCGCCCUGCCCACCCCUCCCGCAGCUCCUGGUACAGCUCCUGGUGCUCCUCCUUCCAGCGCCUGAAGGUGUCCGAGGAAGGAUUUUCGGCACUGCUCCUGCGUCAGGAACCGCCGCUGCCCGAUGAGGGACACCCCGCCCUGACUCAGGCACCGCAUCAGGCUCUCCAGGCUUCCUUCACCCCAAGAUGGUUCACACUUCAACACACCCCAACUCACCCCCCAGCACACACGCAGAGAGAAAACGGAAGCCCUGACUGUGAUUAAAGGGUACACACGAGGUGACAGAGUGACAGAUGCCACCCCCAGCACCUACCCAUGGGGGAGCAGGGCCGGGGGCUGCCCUGGGGGCUGCUGGACUCGCCGCUGGCUGGGGAGAGCUGGGCUUUGUCCGGGGGGUUCUGCAGCCUCUUCCUCGGCUGGGGGAGAGAUGAGGCAGGAGGUGAGAUGAGGAACCUCUGUCCCCUGCCCAGGAUGUCCCCCAGGGCCACUCACCGAGUCACAUCCGUGCCUGGGGGACUCAUCAUCGGGGUCCUCAGCCUCUGUCUCGCUGUAGCAGUCUGGGGAGAGCAGUGGGAGUGGGAAGAUUCCCCCCUCAGGGCUGAGCAUCAUCCCGAGCCCCUCUCAUGGGGAGGUUUUUCACAUUCCCACAAAUCACAGGCAAAGCUCCCAGCACUCCCACACAGGGGAUGUGGCACCAGGCACAGCUGCCCCACCAGGACCUCCAGGUCCCCCCAGGGUCCCCAUGUCCCACUGACCUCACUCCCAGGUCCCCCCAGGGUCCCCAUGUCCCACUGACCCCACCUCCCACCCUGGAGAAGGGCUCAUUACCUUCCUCCUUGUCUGGGACUGACUGGUGGGCAAGUGUGUACUUUGUUUUGGCUGUUAUGAGCCGACUGACCCACCUGGGGAGGGAAAGGACAGACAGACAGGCAGAGGAGGGUCCUGGCCAGCCCAGGAGUGGCAGGACUGGCACUGACCAGCACCGGUGGGUGUGUUACUCACAUGCUCAGGUCAGCCAAGGUUUCAGCAGCAAAGACAAAGGGCUUGUACUUCUGGUGGCACAGCUGGAACACACUGAGGACAAGCAGGUGGCUGCUGUGGUGACACAGAACCAGCCACAAGCCCCCUCCAGCCUCCCCAUUCCAAUCCAGCCCGGGGUCUGGGCUUCUCCCUGCCCUGGGAGAUGUCCUCGGCCUCAUACCAGGUAAUACCAGGAGCACAGUGCACGUCUUGCUCAGUGCACAGAGAAUAUUGCAAACCCUUUGGGGACUCCACCAGCCCCUUGGAGGCCCCACCAGCCCUACAGGGACCCCGGCAGGCCCAUGGGGACCCCACCAACCCUGUGGGGACCCCACCACCACAUGAAGGCCCUGCCAGCGCUGUGGGGACCCCACAGCCCUGCAAGGACCCCACCAGCCCUACUGGGACCCCACCCGAUCCAUGGGGACCUCUGAAGCUCUGAGAGGAUCCCACAAGCCCCAUGGGGACAUGCAGGUGGUACCCAGCAGGAUUCAUCAGCACGUGCCCAGCAUCCCCCCCCUUCCACCACCAGCUGGGAGGUGAGACAGACCCCACUCACUAUUUCUUCUUCUGCUCCCUCGUGCUCUCCAGGUCGUAGGUGGCCACGUUGAUGAGUCCUGCAGCCUUCUCAUCCUGUGAGGAAUGGGGACAGUGUGUCCAACACCACCACCUUGGGAAAUCCCAGCUGCCCAGGUGGGAGUGGGGGGGCGAGGGCACCCGGUGGCCCCCACUCACGUUGGGGUGGUUGUACCAGUAGAGCGUGUGGCCCUUCAGCACGAACCAGCACCGCUUCCACUUCUGGGCCAUGAAGCCCACGUGGUCCUUCUUCUUGAGGAGCCACCCAUCGCAGUCCACCCGGCCCAGGUCCCGGCACGAGACCCGCCGGCGGCUCAGCCUGGUCGCCACUCCUGCCACCACGGCACCGGGGGGGUGUCAAGGCAGGGCAGGGGGAGCAGAGCCCCCCUCCCCGGGGGAGCCCCCAGCCCCCUUCACCCCAGCCUGGCAGGGUCCUGCUCACCUUUUGGUCUGCGUCCUGUCUGGGGGCUGCCCUGGAUGGGGAGAUGGAGAUGAGCAUUUAGGGAUGACAUAAGGGGGGGUGAGGGCAGGGCAGUGUUAGCUGAGCCCCCCCAGCAGCACACACAGCCCUCAGGGGCCCCCUUAGGGACCCUCAGCUUGCACACACACAGCAGCGAGCCCAGAGGGGAGCUCAGAGGGGAACCCAUCCUGGCACAGGUGUUUUGACUCCCACCACAGGCAGGACACAAAGUCCCGUGUCACAGCCCCCCCCCAACACCCUCCCAGUGUCCCCCCCAGCUCUCACCUCCUGAGGGAGCUGGCAGGGCUCUGCACCCCCAGCCCCCGUGGUGGGGGCUGCCGUGGGGCUCAGCUCUGUGCUGCGGGGUCUGGUGGCAGCAGAGAUGCCCGGAGAGUUUGGGAUGCCCGGUGGGGUGCCCAGGGGGGUGUCCAAGGGGGUGUCCAAGGAGGUGUCCAAGGGGGUGCCACUCUCCCACUCCUCCUCCUCUGCAGCGCCUGCGAACAGCGAGCGGGGCUGCAGCCUCCUGUCCUGGGGGGAGAUCUCUCUGUCCCCGCCUCUUCUCCCGUCCUACCCCGUCCGGACAGUCCCGGCAGCUCCUCCACGGCCGCCCUGGGCAGCCUCAGGUCCUGCUCGUCCUCUUCCUCCUCCUCGUCGGUGACGGGAUCCGGCGCUGAGUCCGGCCCGGAGUCCAAGUCGGCACCAACGCUGGGGGAAAACGGGAUUCCUGAGCCACAAACCUCUUUGACGCCUGCAGGGAUCCCACUAUCGGCCUCUGGGUGGGGCACCCGCGGUUCUCCCCGCGCGAGGAGUGGGGCUGGAGGGGACGCGGUGGUGGGGGCUCAGCACCAGCUCCGCCAGACCUCCGUGGUCCCCAGCAGGGUGGGAGCCCGGCCGGUGGCUCCUGCCCGCGCUGCCGUUGGCUCCCCGCACGCCUUUCCAUUCCGGGAGAGGAGAAGGGUCAUGUCUAAAUAUAGUUUCAACCCCACUAAAACGUUACCAAGUGAAUGAAUUACAAACACAA